rnacentral:rRNA from 1 species
UACGUAGGGAGCAAGCGUUGUCCGGAAUCAUUGGGCGUAAAGCGCGCGUAGGUGGCUUCGUAAGUCCGUUGUGAAAGUCAAAGGCUCAACCCUGGAAUGCCGGUGGAUACUGUCGAGCUAGAGUCCGGAAGGGGCGAGUGGAAUUCCUGGUGUAGCGGUGAAAUGCGCAGAUAUCGGGAGGAACACCAAUGGCGAAGGCAGCUCGCUGGGACGUGACUGACGCUGAGACGCGAAAGCGUGGGGAGCAAACAGG